AGGGUGGUGAUAUUUUCUUGAAAAGUGAUAGGAAAGCGAGGGAGGCGCGAACAUGGACGUUCGCGCCAGGCUUUACGCGACAAGGAUGUCGCUUAAAGCCGGCCCGUAAAAUUUAAAACUGCUUGAUCACUUUUCGUAGAAAAUUCCCACC
rnacentral:ncRNA from 1 species